rnacentral:rRNA from 1 species
GUAGGUGGCAAGCGCUGUCCGGAAUUAUUGGGCGUAAAGCGCGCGCAGGCGGUUCUUUAAGUCUGAUGUGAAAGCCCACGGCUCAACCGUGGAGGGUCAUUGGAAACUGGAGAACUUGAGUACAGAAGAGGAAAGCGGAAUUCCACGUGUAGCGGUGAAAUGCGUAGAGAUGUGGAGGAACACCAGUGGCGAAGGCGGCUUUCUGGUCUGUAACUGACGCUGAGGCGCGAAAGCGUGGGGGAGCAAACAGGAUUAGAUACCCUGGUAGUCCACGCCGUAAACGAUGAGUGCUAAGUGUUAGGGGGCUUCCGCCCCCCCCUUAGUGCUGCAGCUAACGCAUUAAGCACUCCGCCUGGGGAGUACGACCGCAAGGUUG